AUUACCGAUGGUAAAAAUAUCGUCGCUAAUAGCUGUCGUUAAUAUUCAAUUUUCUUAUCUUCAAUUUUUUUAUGUCUUAUAGUUUAUUGUCAUUCUUUUUAGUUAACUUUUAUUAUAUUUUAUAUAUUAUCAACCUAUGAGUUAAUUAUGAUUUUAUUUUUUAUCUUUUUGUAGAUUGAACUUGCAUGGUGAUUAUAUACUUUUUUUUAUUUUAUACGGGCU
rnacentral:lncRNA from 1 species